rnacentral:rRNA from 1 species
GACGAACGCUGGCGGCGUGCUUAACACAUGCAAGUCGAACGGAAAGGCCCUGCUUUUGUGGGGUGCUCGAGUGGCGAACGGGUGAGUAACACGUGAGUAACCUGCCCUUGACUUUGGGAUAACUUCAGGAAACUGGGGCUAAUACCGGAUAGGAGCUCCUGCUGCAUGGUGGGGGUUGGAAAGUUUCGGCGGUUGGGGAUGGACUCGCGGCUUAUCAGCUUGUGGGUGGGGUAGUGGCUUACCAAGGCUUUGACGGGUAGCCGGCCUGGGAGGGUGACCGGCCACAUUGGGACUGAGGUACGGCCCAGACUCCUACGUGAGGCAGCGGUGGGAAAUAUUGCACAAUGGGCGGAAGCCUGAUGCAGCAACCCCGCGUGCGGGAUGACGGCCUUCGGGUUGUAAACCGCUUUCGCCUGUGACGAAGCGUGAGUGACGGUAAUGGGUAAAUAAGCACCGGCUAACUACGUG